CGGUGUGAGUAGAGACAUACGGGUGAGAAUCCCGUCCACCGAAUGCCUAAGGUUUCCUGAGGAAGGCUCGUCCGCUCAGGGUUAGUCAGGACCUAAGCCGAGGCCGACAGGCGUAGGCGAUGGACAACAGGUUGAUAUUCCUGUACCACCUCUUUAUCGUUUGAGCAAUGGAGGGACGCAGAAGGAUAGAAGAAGCGUGCGAUUGGUUGUGCACGUCCAAGCAGUUAGGCUGAUAAGUAGGCAAAUCCGCUUAUCGUGAAGGCUGAGCUGUGAUGGGGAAGCUCCUUAUGGAGCGAAGUCUUUGAUUCCCCGCUGCCAAGAAAAGCUUCUAGCGAGAUAAAAGGUGCCUGUACCGCAAACCGACACAGGUAGGCGAGGAGAGAAUCCUAAGGUGUGCGAGAGAACUCUGGUUAAGGAACUCGGCAAAAU
rnacentral:rRNA from 1 species